rnacentral:rRNA from 1 species
CCUACGGGAGGCUGCAGUAGGGAAUCUUCUACAAUGGACGAAAGCCUGAUGGAGCAACGCCGCGUGGGUGAAGAAGGUCUUCGGAUCGUAAAACCCUGUUGUUAGUGAAGAAAGUGCGUGAGAGUCACUGUUCAUGUUUCGACGGUAUCUAAUUAGAAAGCCACGGCUAACUACGUGCCAGCAGCCGCGGUAAUACGUAGGUGGCAAGCGUUAUCCGGAUUUAUUGGGCGUAAAGGGAAUGCAGGCGGUCUUUUAAGUCUGAUGUGAAAGCCUUCGGCUUAACCGGAGUAGUGCAUUGGAAACGGGGGGACUUGAGUGCAGAAGAGGAGAGUGGAACUCCAGGUGUAGCGGUGAAAUGCGUAGAUAUAUGGAAGAACACCAGUGGCGAAGGCGGCUCUCUGGUCUGUAACUGACGCUGAGGUUCGAAAGCGUGGGUAGCAAACAGGAUUAGAUACCCGUGUAGUC